AGAGUAAUUGACCAGCAAUGUUUUGUACUUACAGACAACUGCAACUAAAUCAUUGUUUUGUCCCAGGGAUCCUGUCCCUUCCAGCCAUGACCCACCCAAUUUUAAAGUAGCCAUAAAAAGACUUCAGAAACAUGUUCAAGAGGUUUAUCCUCUUUUAAAGAGGGCCUUUAUGGUCUUUGAUGAGAAUAAGACUGGAGUUCUCACUCAGGCUGAAGUGCGCAGAGUGCUGGAGGCUCUGACCUUUUGCAUGACAGACCAGCACUGCAGAAGGCUGCUGGAGCUCUUAGAUACAGAGAGCACCGGAGUCAUCGAUUACCAGCACUUUCUAGACAUCUUCCAUUCACAAAAUUCAAUUCUGAAAAGAUUAGCACAAAAGAAGUCUGGAGCUCCACCAGCUCAGAAGUUAUUGCCUCAGACACCAAUGGAACCAACUGACACAUGGG
rnacentral:lncRNA from 1 species